rnacentral:lncRNA from 1 species
GAAGACUUAUCUUUGCAAGAGCUACACGACAGACCAAUAUUCCACAAAGGAAUCGAACAGAUCACAAAGAUCUUUCAAAGGACCAGAACUGCACACGAUGAAUCACACAGAUUCAUCCAAAUACCACACAGGGUAGCACACUAUUAUGCAAAUCUAUAAUAUCACAAAGUAUUCACACAUUGAUUCACUGAAACACUUAAGAUUUAUGAACCCU